UGUGCCCCUGCCUCUGCAAAACGCCCUGCCAGCACGGGGGCAGGGCCAGUGCCAGACCCACUCCGCAGAGUUUUGGUCCGCUGGGACGCUCUAUAACUGGUAAUGUUCGCCAAGGAAACUGAGCGAGAUGAGGGUGUUCCUGGAGGGCCUUACUCAUCUCUGGCUGAAGACAGCCUCAGUCUUUGUGUUGGCUGCAGGGGAUGAAGGGUGUGGAAACCACCGUCUGCGCUGCCGAGGGGACUCA